rnacentral:tRNA from 1 species
AGUGUGGUGGCCGAAUUAAGGUGUUAGUCUCUUAAAUUAAUUAUGACAAAAUUA